AGUCGAGCGAUGAACACCUUCGGGUGUGAAUUAGCGGCGAACGGGUGAGGAACACGUGAGAAAUCUGCCUUCACACUGGGAUAACUCCGGGAAACCGGGGCUAAUACCGGAUAUGAAAUCUGCGGGCAUCCGCGGAUUUGGAAAGUUUUUCGGUUGAAGAUGAUCUCGCGGCCUAUCAGCUUGUUGGUGAGGUAAUGGCUCACCAAGGCGACGACGGGUAGCCGGCCUGAGAGGGCGACCGGCCACACUGGGACUGAGACACGGCCCAGACUCCUACGGGAGGCAGCAGUGGGGAAUAUUGGGCAAUGGAGGAAACUCUGACCCAGCGACGCCGCGUGCGGGGUGAAGGCCUUCGGGUUGUAAACCGCUUUCAGCAGGGAAGAAGCGAAAGUGACGGUACCUGCAGAAGAAGCACCGGCUAACUAUGUGCCAGCAGCCGCGGUAAUACAUAGGGUGCAAGCGUUGUCCGGAAUUAUUGGGCGUAAAGAGCUCGUAGGUGGUUCGUCACGUCGGAUGUGAAACUCUGGGGCUUAACCCCAGACCUGCAUUCGAUACGGGCGAGCUUGAGUAUGGUAGGGGAGUCUGGAAUUCCUGGUGUAGCGGUGGAAUGCGCAGAUAUCAGGAGGAACACCAAUGGCGAAGGCAGGACUCUGGGCCAUUACUGACACUGAGGAGCGAAAGCGUGGGGAGCGAACAGGAUUAGAUACCCUGGUAGUCCACGCCGUANACGGUGGGCACUAGUUGUGGGGACCUUCCACGGUCUCUGCGACGCAGCUAACGCAUUAAGUGCCCCGCCUGGGGAGUACGAUCGCAAGAUUAAAACUCAAAGG
rnacentral:rRNA from 1 species